rnacentral:rRNA from 1 species
GAAUGCUGACAUAAGUAACGAUAAUGCGGGUGAAAAACCCGCACGCCGGAAGACCAAGGGUUCCUGUCCAACGUUAAUCGGGGCAGGGUGAGUCGACCCCUAAGGCGAGGCUGAAAAGCGUAGUCGAUGGGCAACGGGUUAAUAUUCCCGUACUGGUGGUAACUGCGAAGGGGGGACGGAGAAAGCUAAAUCAUCCGGGCGACGGUUGUCCCGGUUUAAGCGUGCAGGUGGACUGACCAGGCAAAUCCGGUCGGUUGUUAACACUGAGGC